UUCCGGUUGAUCCUGCCGGAGGUCACUGCUAUUGGGAUUCGACUAAGCCAUGCGAGUCGAGAGGGUUCGGCCCUCGGCUGACGGCUCAGUAACACGUGGAUAAUCUGCCCUUAGGUGGAGGAUAAUCUCGGGAAACUGAGGAUAAUACUCCAUAGAUCUAGGAUGCUGGAAUGCAUUUAGAUUGAAAGCUCCGGCGCCUAAGGAUGAGUCUGCGGACUAUCAGGUUGUAGUCAGGGUAAAGACCUGACUAGCCUACGACGGAUACGGGUUGUGAGAGCAAUAACCCGGAGACGAUAUCUGAGACACGAUAUCGGGCCCUACGGGGCGCAGCAGGCGCGAAAACUUCACACUGUGCGAAAGCGCGAUGAGGGAAUCCCAAGUGUUUGCUCGUAAGAGUAAACUGUUUCUUUGUUUAAAACGCAGAGAGAGUAAGGGCUGGGUAAGACGGGUGCCAGCCGCCGCGGUAAUACCUGCAGCUCAAGUGGUGAUCAUUAUUAUUGGGCCUAAAACGUCCGUAGCCGGUUUAGUAAAUGCCUGGGUAAAUCGUGUAGCUUAACUAUACGACUUCCGGGUAGACUGCUAAACUUGAGACCGGGAGAGGCUAGAGGUACUCCUGGGGUAGAGGUGAAAUUCUGUAAUCCUAGGGGGACCACCAGUGGCGAAGGCGUCUAGCUAGAACGGGUCUGACGGUGAGGGACGAAGCCCUGGGGCACAAACCGGAUUAGAUACCCGGGUAGUCCAGGGUGUAAACGCUGCUUGCUUGAUGUUAGUUGGGCUCCGAGCCCAACUAGUGUCGGAGAGAAGUUGUUAAGCAAGCUGCCUGGGAAGUACGGUCGCAAGGCUGAAACUUAAAGGAAUUGGCGGGGGAGCACAGCAACGGGUGGAGCGUGCGGUUUAAUUGGAAUCAACGCCGG
rnacentral:rRNA from 1 species